rnacentral:rRNA from 1 species
ACGGGUGCGUAACGCGUGGGAAUCUGCCCCUUGGUUCGGAAUAACAGUUGGAAACGACUGCUAAUACCGGAUGAUGACGUAAGUCCAAAGAUUUAUCGCCGAGGGUUGAGCCCGCGUAGGAUUAGGUAGUUGGUGUGGUAAAGGCGCACCAAGCCGACGAUCCUUAGCUGGUCUGAGAGGAUGAUCAGCCACACUGGGACUGAGACACGGCCCAGACUCCUACGGGAGGCAGCAGUGGGGAAUAUUGGACAAUGGGCGAAAGCCUGAUCCAGCAAUGCCGCGUGAGUGAUGAAGGCCUUAGGGUUGUAAAGCUCUUUUACCCGGGAUGAUAAUGACAGUACCGGGAGAAUAAGCUCCGGCUAACUCCGUGCCAGCAGCCGCGGUAAUACGGAGGGAGCUAGCGUUAUUCGGAAUUACUGGGCGUAAAGCGCACGUAGGCGGCUUUGUAAGUAAGAGGUGAAAGCCCAGAGCUCAACUCUGGAAUUGCCUUUUAGACUGCAUCGCUUGAAUCAUGGAGAGGUCAGUGGAAUUCCGAGUGUAGAGGUGAAAUUCGUAGA